ACACAGCUCUCAGAGCCACAAGGCUCACCCAAAACCAACCCAGCUCCUCUCCAGUGCGAAAGUAGUGGCCGACGCGGCCAAGUCUGCGCUCCACCACGAGACCGACAAGAUCGACAAGGCCAAGGUCGCCGGCGCCGCCGGCGACAUCCUCGGCGCGGCUUCUCACUACGCGAAGCUCGAGGAAGGGAAGCUGGGGAAGUACGUCGGGCAAGCGGAGAAUUACCUCCACCAGUACCACUCAUCCCAUUCCGCCCACUCCUCCACCACCUCCGCGGCCGCCCAUUCUUCGUCGACCCACUCCACCGGCGAGGCUCAUCACGGCGGCGGCGGCGGCGGCCUGGAGGACUACAUGAAGAUGGCGCAAGGCUUCUUGAAGAAGCGUUGACUUCUCAUCGUGUACUUUCUUGGAACGUGAAGAAGCUUUUCUUCUUGGACUGGCGUGGAU
rnacentral:lncRNA from 1 species